ACCCACAUGCAAACUCUACACAGAAAUCCCAACUAGCCCAGCUGGGGCUCGAACCAGCAACCUUCAUGCUGUGAGGGGACAGUGCUAACCACUGUGCUGUCCUCUGAAAUUGAUCAAUAGUUGUCAUUUUUUGGCCUGUAGUAAUUGGUCGGACCAGGAAAAAUAACAAUAGAGCACUAAAGACAGGCAACAAAUUGCUAAAAUGUUGUCCUUCUUUGUAUGAUUUAGUAGCUUACACACAUUUAUCUGUGGUUUAGACAGCGUGGAUAAGCAGAAAACGUAUUUACAGAUUACCUAUGCUGUUGUUGAUAUCUGAGUAUCUCCAUAAUGGCCGCAUAGCUCUUUGUGGGAAAAGUUGUGUUAAUAACUUAAAACACCUUAUGUUCUUAGGGCUGUGUUUAAAAUGUUUAACCAAACAUUACUAAAAUUAAACCAUAUUGAUUAUUUGUUGGAGAAACAACACUUAAUAUGAGUCAGGUUUAUUCUUUCAUUUGUAUUUAAAACUACUUUACUGCAGUAUUUGUGUAAUAUAAAUGUGUAACACAAUAUAACAGUAAUUUGUGUAAUAUAAAUUCAAUAUUUACUCAACAUGACGUGGUUUCAAACCUUUAUGACUUUGUUUUGUUGAAUACACAAGAAGAUCAUUUGAAAAAUGUUAAAAACAUGUAGCAAUUGACUUUCACUGUAAGAAAAACAAAUACUAUGAAAGUCAAUGAAUCUGCAUUUUUCGGACUUUAAUAUUCAGAAUCUUUUUCUUCAUUCAGUAGAAGAAAGAAGUGAAUUAGUGACAGAAUUUUUAUUUUUGGUUGAAUUAAUCUUUUAGGUUUUACUAUAUCCCUGCAUGUAAUAUACUCUUUCGCUAAUGCAUUUUUUCCGUGAGUAUUCUCUCUUGACUCUUGAAAGAUUUAAUUUUUUUCUCAGUAAAUACAUUUUUGCUGCUGAUAUGAAAUUGACCCAGAUUAUGAAUGUGAAUAGUUAUGUGAAAGACUCCCGGAAAUUCCCUAUAACAAACAAGAGUAGACAAGCCCAUCGGGUUGGCAAUUUAACAAGCUCUGCAUUUGCAAACCUGUUUAAUCGUGAAAAGAUUCAAAGGAAAACACAUCACAUGAUUAUAUUGAUCAAACUAUUUGGAUCUUUAAAGGGAAGACAGAAUGAAUGAUCAGAAUGCUUCUGUGCAAAGGAGUAAUGAUGAGCCUAAAUGUUACUGGAACUGGCCUCUGCUGAUCUCAGUGUCUGGCUUAGCAUUGUACCGUAAGCAUUUCAGUAUUCUUAGGUACAAAAAAAUUACUAAAAACAAUAAAUUUAUUAAUUAAUUAACGAUUCAACGUCUUUCUGUGUUGACUGUUUUCUGUGCUUAUUUUCCGAAUGGUUAACGCAAAGGAGACUGAAAAAUGAGCUUGACUGCUUGAGGAGAAGCAUUGGGAGAGACAGAAUGGAGGAUAAAGGGAUAGCUAUUAUUCGUGAAAUCCGCAGGCUGCUUUAUGCUAGACAAGAAGUCGUUUGCGGCUAUCGUGAGCCCCAUGUUACUUUAAGGUUAAUAGAGGAAGAGAUAAACUUGUUGAUAUCCAAUGACCCUAUAGCACGUCAACUCAAUAUGCAGGCUGAUAUCACAAAGUACUUCCAGCGCUCUGUAGACUUCUCAAGAUCACCAAUACACGACUGUGUUGCAGACUUGCAGACAAAACUGGACCGUUUAAUAGAAAGCCAGAAAAAUUAGAAGACAUUUUAAUAAACAGAUUUGACACCAUAAUUGUAAGUUUGCAUGUUGUUUAUUAUUGUCGAUUAUGAUUUACUUUCUCGUGUGAAUUGAUAUUGUUUUGAGUUAUUCAAAUUAGUUUCUGUCAUGAUUUGCUGUGAGCUAAAACUAAACCAAAGAUAAAUCUGUAUCUUGCAUGGUUUGUUUUUUUUAGUUAAUAAAUGAAUACAAAAAGG